CCUUUGUCAUUUCAGUCCAAGCUUCUGAGCUCCGGGACCUUGCCAUGAGGUCAAAUUCCACUGAAGGCCUAGUUGAGGAACAGCAGACUGCUUGGGGAACACUGGAAUAUGAAACACAGACACUGAAGAAAGAAAAUGCAGUCCAAGCGACUCAACUGAGAAACAUGGAGGCCAAGUUGAAGGCUGCUGAAAACCAGCUGGAGCAAGUGAAGACUGUGAAUGAAGCUCAAGCUCGUGAACUGGAGGAGCUCAGUGUGAAGUCAUCUACAACUGAGGAUGAGCUGAGGCAGCACCAGACUACAGUGGUGGACUUAACAGGAAAGGUGAAGGAGAUACAACAAGAGAAUGCAGUCCAAGCUUCUGAGCUCCGGGACCUUGCCAUGAGGUCAAAUUCCACUGAAGGCCUAGUUGAGGAACAGCAGACUGCUUUGGGAACACUGGAAUAUGAAACACAGACACUGAAGACAGAAAAUGCAGGUAGGCUGAAGUGAGGGUGAAAACACUGCCUAUGGUCUGUUCCAACUGAAAAAGGGUUUUGUUGUUGAUACUGGGGAUUAUUUCUGUAUUAACACUAUGAUUACUAAUAGAUAGAUAGAUAGAUAGAUAGAUAGAAAGAUAGAUAAAAAGAUAGAUAGAAAGAUAGAUACGCACAUGGCCAACUGAAAGAGUAGCAAGAAGCAGGUGGACAGACUUCAGGAGGAAAACACAGGUACUAUUUC
rnacentral:lncRNA from 1 species